AGAACGAACGCUGGCGGCAUGCCUAACACAUGCAAGUCGAACGAGACCUUCGGGUCUAGUGGCGCACGGGUGCGUAACGCGUGGGAAUCUGCCCUUGGGUUCGGGAUAACAGUUGGAAACGACUGCUAAUACCGGAUGAUGUCUUCGGACCAAAGAUUUAUCGCCCAGGGAUGAGCCCGCGUAGGAUUAGCUUGUUGGUGAGGUAAGAGCUCACCAAGGCGACGAUCCUUAGCUGGUCUGAGAGGAUGAUCAGCCACACUGGGACUGAGACACGGCCCAGACUCCUACGGGAGGCAGCAGUGGGGAAUAUUGGACAAUGGGCGAAAGCCUGAUCCAGCAAUGCCGCGUGAGUGAUGAAGGCCUUAGGGUUGUAAAGCUUACUUUACCCGGGAUGAAUUAAUGACAGUACCGGAGAAUAAAGCCCGGCUAACUCCGUAGCCAGCCGAGUCCGC
rnacentral:rRNA from 1 species